GAGGGUAUAGCUCAGUGGUAGAACUCAUGCCCAGAAUGUAUGAGGUCCUGGGUUCAAUCCCCAGGACCUCCA
rnacentral:tRNA from 1 species